AUUUGAGAAAAACUUGAGUCAGG
rnacentral:piRNA from 1 species